rnacentral:rRNA from 1 species
GACGAACGCUGGCGGCGUGCUUAACACAUGCAAGUCGAGCGGUAAGGCCCUUUCGGGGGUACACGAGCGGCGAACGGGUGAGUAACACGUGGGUGACCUGCCCUCAGCUCUGGGACUAAGCCCGGGAAACUGGGUCUAAUACCGGAUAUGACUUCAUGACGCAUGUUGUGGAUGGAAAGCCUUGUGCGGCUGAGGAUGGG